rnacentral:miRNA from 1 species
CCGGCCCUCUUCUCUCGCCAGG